rnacentral:rRNA from 1 species
GACGAACGCUGGCGGCGUGCUUAACACAUGCAAGUCGAACGGAAAGGCCCUGCUUUUGUGGGGUGCUCGAGUGGCGAACGGGUGAGUAACACGUGAGUAACCUGCCCUUGACUUUGGGAUAACUUCAGGAAACUGGGGCUAAUACCGGAUAGGAGCUCCUGCUGCAUGGUGGGGGUUGGAAAGUUUCGGCGGUUGGGGAUGGACUCGCGGCUUAUCAGCUUGUUGGUGGGGUAGUGGCUUACCAAGGCUUUGACGGGUAGCCGGCCUGAGAGGGUGACCGGCCACAUUGGGGCUGAGAUACGGCCCAAACUCCUACGGGAGGCAGCAGUGGGGAAUAUUGCACAAUGGGCGGAAGCCUGAUGCAGCAACGCCGCGUGCGGGAUGACGGCCUUCGGGUUGUAAACCGCUUUCGCCUGUGACGAAGCGUGAGUGACGGUAAUGGGUAAAGAAGCACCGGCUAACUACGUG